GCAGCUCUGUGGUAGAACAUCUGCCUUGAAUGCAGAAGGUCCCAGGUUCAAUUCCUGGAGAAAGCU